rnacentral:rRNA from 1 species
AGGACGAACGCUGGCGGCGUGCUUAACACAUGCAAGUCGAGCGGUAAGGCCUUUCGGGUACACGAGCGGCGAACGGGUGAGGUAACACGUGGGUGAUCGUGCCCUGCACUCUGGGAUAAGCCUGGGAAACUGGGUCUAAUACCGGAUAUGACCUGCUCUCGCAGUGGGGGUGGUGGAAAGUAUUUAUCGGUGCAGGAUGGGCCCGCGGCCUAUCAGCUUGUUGGUGGGUAAUGGCCUACCAAGGCGACGACGGGUAGCCGACCUGGAGAGGGUGACCGGCCACACGUGGGACUGAGACCACGGCCCAGACUCC